rnacentral:rRNA from 1 species
UAGGGAAUCUUCCGCAAUGGGCGAAAGCCUGACGGAGCAACGCCGCGUGAGUGAUGAAGGUCUUCGGAUCGUAAAACUCUGUUAUUAGGGAAGAACAAAUGUGUAAGUAACUAUGCACGUCUUGACGGUACCUAAUCAGAAAGCCACGGCUAACUACGUGCCAGCAGCCGCGGUAAUACGUAGGUGGCAAGCGUUAUCCGGAAUUAUUGGGCGUAAAGCGCGCGUAGGCGGUUUUUUAAGUCUUAUGUGAAAGCCCACGGCUCAACCGUGGAGUGUCAUUGGAAACUGCAUAACUUGAUUGCAGAAGAGGAAAGUGGAAUUCCAUGUGUUGCCGUGAAAUGCGCAGAGAUAUGGAGGACCACCAGUGGCGAAGGCGACUUUCUGGUCUGUAACUGACGCUGAUGUGCGAAAGCGUGGGGAUCAAACAGG